UUUACUUCCUUGUAUAAUUUCUUCUCCCAUACGUAUAGCUUCUCCAAAGUAGAAGAAAGGUUAACGGGCCUAACAUCCAGAACCGCAUCAUCAUAGGAUCCUGCUAACUUUGUUACUCGAGAACUUGAUCUUGCCGAUUGUAUUGGACGGUCUGAAGAUACCAAUGAAGAACGGCAAACUUCGAUCGAUAAGGCAACUUCCCGGCCUCUAGCAUCAAAGCGACCUCCUUCCCAUGACUAAACGCGCUCUCGAAUUCGCCUUUGAUUUCAUUAACUACCUCAUGAAGAUCCCGAGAACCAUGAGGAGAUAACGUUGUCAAACUACUCAUAAUCGAGGACUCUAUUUCUAACUCCUGUGUAGACCCUUCAUCGAUAUCAACACUUACUCCCUUUUUACCCUCCUCUGUGCUUUGUGAAACAAUCGUUUCAGAGCUAUGCUGCUUCUCUACUUCGGUGCCAACCGAAUGUUCUCGUUUAACUUCCAAUGGUACGGAAUUUGAACUCGAUUCGGCUUGUGCUGCGUUUGCAGUGUCUUCACUUUUCUCCGGUGGUGUUCUGAUUCUUCGAGAACUACCCUCCGUACUACUUGAAGCUCCCUUCAAUGCACUAUCUUCACCGUCUUCUUUUCCUUCGACUAGAUUUCUCUUUCUACUAAACGUAUUCGUUUUUACGUCUUCGUAGUGAGAAUCGGUUUCUGUUUCUUCUUCCAAAUCGGGAAUCCCCUCCCUCGCUCUCACUUCACUCGCAUCCGGACUACUAUCCAUUGUUUCGUUAUACCCAUAUCCAUACCCAUGAUACUCAUUAUCAUACGCGUUAAAAAAGUUAAAAUAAUCAGAUUCCAUCGGCGGAGGAGGCGGCGGCGGCGGACUUUUG
rnacentral:lncRNA from 1 species